CCUACGGGUGGCAGCAGUGAGGAAUAUUGGUCAAUGGGCGCGAGCCUGAACCAGCCAAGUAGCGUGAAGGAUGACUGCCCUACGGGUUGUAAACUUCUUUUAUAAAGGAAUAAAGUGAGGCACGUGUGCCGUUUUGUAUGUACUUUAUGAACAAGGAUCGGCUAACUCCGUGCCAUCAGCCGCGGUAAUACGGAGGAUCCGAGCGUUAUCCGGAGUUAUUGGGUUUAAAGGGAGCGUAGAGGGGUUGUUAAGUCAGUUGUGAAAGUUUUCGGCUCAACCGGAAAAUUGCAAUUGAUACUGGCAGCCUUGAGUACAGUAGAGGUAGGCGGAAUUCGUGGUGUAGCGGUGAAAUGCUUAGAUAUCACGAAGAACUCCGAUUGCGAAGGCAGCCUACUAAACUGCCACUGACACUGAUGCUCGAAAGUGUGGGUAUCAAACAGGAUUAGAUACCCUUGUAGUC
rnacentral:rRNA from 1 species